GGGUUGUGAGGUUAAGCGACUAAGCGUACACGGUGGAUGCCCUGGCAGUCAGAGGCGAUGAAGGACGUGCUAAUCUGCGAUAAGCGCCGGUAAGGUGAUAUGAACCGUUAUAACCGGCGAUACCCGAAUGGGGAAACCCAGUGUGACUCGUCACACUAUCAUUAACUGAAU
rnacentral:rRNA from 1 species